GAGUUGGUGGACAUAAUCCCUGCCUUGUGAAUUCCUUGUGAAGAAACUAACAGUUUAGAGGAAAAACCAUGGUGAGAGGUUACGAAAUAUGUGGUCAUGCCUUGCCUGAAUAUGUGCUGUAAAAGCUACUGAGAGCUAUUCCAUCCCUCUCCAGGAGAAUGCUGAUCUUCUGUACUUUCCUACAGCUAAAGAAGUGGUGUCUGCCUGACGGAUGUGGAAUCUUUGAAUACCCCUUUCAAAGAAGAGGGUAUGUUUUUGGAGCAUUAGAGAGUUGAUGGAGACACAGUGGAGAAGUGGUGACACUCAUCAGCCAUCCUGAACCCUGCCACCCCUGCAAGUAUAGGACAGAGAGGAGAUCAUCCCUAGGAUAAGAAUUCAAUGUGACCUUCUUCAAUUGGAGCAGUGGUCAGAAAUCAACAACCUGGAACAUGAUCGGGCUAAAUACAGAGAAUAAAGGGUGACUGUGCUCCAUCAACACUAAAGCUUUGGGGGAAUCCUGCAGUUUAUUUAAUGAUGUUUUCUGCCCAUUAGUAAAGGUUGGUAUCAAAUUUAUUUUUCAUCUCUUCCUACAAAAACUUCACAUAGAGCAAUUGGGGAAUUUACCUUCUGAUCUGAGGAAAAAAUAAAGCCUUUCUUUUACAAUCCAGAUAGGUUAGCCAUAUCUUUGCAUGUAAGUCUUUUCCACUCAACUCCUUCCUGAAAUCUGAAAUAUUGGAGUAUACCCUGGAGCAUAAACUUUUUAGACAUAAACUUAGCUUAGGGGAAAUUGACUCAUUUACCCUGUGGCUUCUCGUGGCUUUUGAUACCUGAGCCAGCUGUCAUUUCUUAUUAGCUUGGAUAUAAAACCUGUCAGUAUUUCUUAAUAUUAACUCUAAAGGAACAGGGCAAUAACUGGUAAAGAUCUGAAACCUUACAAGAGUCCUCUUUUUCUCUGUUCUAAACUACCUGCAUAAACCUUUAAAUCGCCUAAGAAAGUGAGAUGAAUUAUUGCUGGGGUUAAACUUCGAAGGUCACAGCAAUAGGCAUCAGGGAGAAAUGAUGAAUAUUUGAUCAUCCCUCCAUUUGAUAUUUUUCCACUUAAAUAAUGCUAACCCAAUCAGACACCAUGACUAAAGCUGAGGUCUAAAACAUUGAAUAUGUGGAUUUUUAUUUAGUUUACUUUAAGGAGAAUGUCAUCUGAUGCAUAUCAUUUUUAAGCAAGAGUAGGUAGAGCCUGGUAGGGACAGAAUUGAGGUUCCUAUUGGAGGAGGAACUGAAGUCAAAGAACUGAAAGGUAAGUAGAUAUAUUGUUGCAGCAUUUGCUGCCUGGAAGUUACAUUUCUCUCAAGACAGAGGCCUAACCUUUCCCAGAAUCCUGAGGGAACGAGAGCCAAUCAGCAAACCAGAUGAAGCCACAAGUUGGAUAAAGUUUUUAAUUGAAGAGAGAGAACCCAGUUGACUCACUCUGUUUCUUCAUCCCUGCUGGGACACACACUGAUAGAUUUGCUGUGUUACCUCCUCCAUUUCUGCUUGUGAGCAUGUAUGCUCAGAACAUCCUACGUCCGGGGAAGUUUGCUUUACCAGCACUUAGAACAGUGAUUGUCAUAAGGUAAGUGCUUAAC